UAUUCUCUCCUCCGCUAUCAAGUGGCAAUGCCCAAUCAAAUUUGUGCAGAAGAUUGGCUAAUGCAAGUUCAACGACAGCAAUGGCGAAAUGGGUUCCAGGG